GCUGGGUGUGGUGCCGUGCACCUGUAAUCCCAGCUACUCGGGAGGCUGAGGCAGGAGAAUUGCUUGAACCCGGGAGGUGGAGGUUGCAGUGUGCCGAGAUCGCACCACUGCACUCCAGCCUGGGUGACAGAGCAAGACUCCAUCUCUG
rnacentral:SRP_RNA from 2 species